UACGUAGGGUGCGAGCGUUAAUCGGAAUUACUGGGCGUAAAGCGUGCGCAGGCGGUUUUGUAAGCCAGAUGUGAAAGCCCCGGGCUUAACCUGGGAAUGGCAUUUGGGACUGCAAGGCUUGAGUGCGGCAGAGGAGACUGGAAUUCCUGGUGUAGCAGUGAAAUGCGUAGAUAUCAGGAGGAAUACCGAUGGCGAAGGCAGGUCUCUGGGCCGAUACUGACGCUGAGGAGCGAAAGCGUGGGGAGCGAACAGG
rnacentral:rRNA from 1 species